rnacentral:rRNA from 1 species
AAGGGCACCACAAGAACGCGUGGAGCUGUGGCUUAAUUUGACUCAACGCGGGAAAUCUUACCGGGUCCGGACACACUGAGGAUUGACAGGCACUAUUAAAUUUUUAUGAAUUUAUUCAUAAUAUUUAUGUUAAAUAUGCUAGUCCUUUCAUGAUUAUGUGAUAGGUGGUGCAUGGCCGUUCUUAGUUCGUGGAGUGAUCUGUCUGCUUAAUUGCGUUUCACUAAGGGCUUAAAAAUUACGUGUGUUGUAUUGUUUUUUGACCCCUAUCGUUGAAAUAUUACGUGUAGUGCGUGUCUUAAAUUGCGAUACUCACACAAUUAAGUCCUGAAAGCAACGAACGUGACCGCAACCUCUUGUUGCCUUUACAUUUAAACGCGUGUUAUGUAUUUUUAUACAUUUCACGUAAAAAAAGGCUUUUAAACUAGAGGGACCGCUGUAACUUUUUUAAACCAGAGGAAGGUUGCGGCAAUAACAGGUCUGUGAUGCCCUUAGAUGUUCCGGGCUGCACACGUGCUACAAUGAUUAUUGCAGUGAGCAUCUCAUUUAUUACACACCGCAUGCGCGUGUCCAAUUAUUUACGUACUAUUUCAGUGCGUACUUUAAUUGUGUACAUUGCGCGCGGUAAAGCCCUGCUUCGAAAGUAAGUGGGUAAUCAAUUAGAAGUAAUGAUUUCCCAAUUUAUAGCACACAUAUAUACGGCAUCUUUACCCCGCUUGCGCUUGUCGUAAGUUUUGUGCGUAUCGAUGUUUUUUCCGUAUGUGCAAUUGUCAAUUCAUGGUGGGGACAGACCAUUGUUAAUUGUUGGUCUCGGUCUUAACUAGGAAUGCCUUGUACGGGUCUUUGGUUCAACAAACCCCCCCCGNAUNNGGUCCCUGCCCUUUGUACACACCGCCCGUCGCUCUUACCGAUGGACUUCUCUGUGAGUUUGAGGGACUGGGUACCUGUAAAAAUUUAUUUUUACUAAUAUCACCUAUGGAAACUUAAACGAACAGUGUGGUCUAAAGGAAAGAGAAGUCGAACAAGGCA